GCCUAGCCGUAACACACAAUUAAAAUACCAAUUGUUCGCCAAACAACUACGAGCCAUACUUGAAACUUAAAAGACUUGACGGUACUUCAUCACGACCUAGAGGAGCCUGUCUAAUAACCGACAAUCCACGAUUAACCCAACCCCUUCUUGCCCAACAGUCUAUAUACCGCCGUCGCCAGCUUACCUUGUAAAAGAAAUAAAGUGAGCUAAAUAAUACAACAUUAAAACGACAGGUCGAGGUGUAACCUAUGAAGGGGCCAAGAUGGGCUACAUUCUCCCCGAGAAUACGAAUAACACUAUGAAACUAGUAUUUGAAGGCGGAUUUAGUAGUAAGCUGAGAAUAAAAUACUUAACUGAACAUAACGCAAUG
rnacentral:rRNA from 1 species